AUAGCGUAUAUUAAAGUUGUUGCAGUUAAAAAGCUCGUAGUUGGAUUUCUGGGAGGGUGCCAAUGUCGUCAUGUGAUUGUGCAGCGGCGCCCUUCCAUCCUUCUGUUAACGUUUCUGAUAUUCAUUUAUUGGUCUCGGGCUCAGAUAUUUUACCUUGAGAAAAUUAGAGUGUUCCAGGCAGGCUUGCGCCGGAAUACAUUAGCAUGGAAUAAUAGAAUAGGACUUUAGUCUCCUUUGUUGGUUUGAGGGACUGAAGUAAUGAUUAAUAGGGAUAGUUGGGGGCAUUAGUAUUUAAUUGUCAGAGGUGAAAUUCUCGGAUUUGUUAAAGACUAACUUAUG
rnacentral:rRNA from 1 species